rnacentral:tRNA from 1 species
GGGGCUAAGCGGUUCGAUCCCGCUUAGCUCCACCA